rnacentral:rRNA from 1 species
CGAACCGUACCAAACGUUUAUUCGGAAUCACUGGGCUUAAAGGGUGCGUAGGCGGCCCUGCAAGUUGGGUGUGAAACUCCCUCGGCUCAACCGAGGAAUUGCGCCCAAAACUGCCGGACUUGAGGGAGACAGAGGUGAGUGGAACUAUGGGUGGAGCGGUGAAAUGCGUUGAUAUCCGUAGGAACACCGGUGGCGAAAGCGGCUCACUGGGUCUCUUCUGACGCUGAGGCACGAAAGCUAGGGGAGCGAACGGGGAUUAGAUACCCCGGUAGUCCUAGCUGUAAACGAUGAGCACUAGAUCGUAGAGAUCUCCAUGUCUUUACGGUUCGAAACUGAAAAGGUUAAGUGCUCCGCCUGGGGAGUAUGCCGCAAGGCUG